rnacentral:lncRNA from 1 species
ACUUAAAGAGGACGGCAGAUCAAGAGCAUCUCAUCCUCCGGCUGCUGAGUCAUCCUGCUCUGGCAGUUAUUUAAACAGAAGGCUCCAGGAGACAUACAAUCAACACUCCACUCAGACAAUGCCCAGACCUCCAGAAACCAUGUGUCAAGCUCGGAUUGCCUUAGACAGAAGCUCACCCAGCUGGAACUCUUAUGGGACCUUGGCACCAGAGACCACAAAUUCCUCUUUGAAGUUUUCUAACAGCAACAAUGGUAUUUCUGACUUGGCUUUCUUGUAUUUCUCUCACGUUAACAAAAUUGGUUCAGCAUCUACCAUGGGCUACAUGCUGAGCUACAGAGUUUCGCUCUGUCGCCCAGGCUGGAGUGCAGUGGCGCGCGAUCUCGGUUCACUGCAAGCUCCACCUCCCGGGUUCACGCCAUUCUCCUGCCUCAGCCUCCUGAGUAGCUGGGACUACAGGCGCCCGCCACCACACCCAGGAACAAAACCCAUCAGAAGAUGUCAGAAGAUAAGGAUUUUUGUCCUGAUGCUACACUUACCAGCUGUCCCUCAGUGUUCUACUUCUUAAAAAAAGAGAGAUGGAUAAACAGAGGCAACCCGAGGAUAAAGGCCUUGCUCAGUGUCACACAUUUCAGUCACUAAAUAAGACACAAUGGAUGCCAGUAUUCUCAUCCCCUCACAAAUAAAGAGCCUUCAAGCUCUUGCAGUCAACAAGAACUUUUGGAAUGAUUUCACUGCCUGAAAAGGCAGAUACAUAGGUGACACCCACAAAUAGGAAGAAAAUCAACCUGAACCUGAGUGUGUGGGCUCACUGACUCUAAGCAGUAGAGACAGAAGAAAAAGUUUUAGCAAAGAAGGGUUCUGAAAGAAAAUAAAUAUAGCUCGUUAUCAAGUGCUGUUUUUACACAGUAAAACAUGGGCAAAAUUACUCUUCUUUAAGUAGUAAUUCUUAUCUCUUGAUUAAGUCACCUACUCAUUCAUUUAAUAAAUACAUACUGAUUGUUUUC